rnacentral:lncRNA from 1 species
UGAGGAUGGAAGGUGAGGGUGGAGCAUCUAAUUUAGCUACUAAUGAGGGUAUUUUUUUUUCAGUACUGGGAAAUAAACAGAAGCUCUCACACAUACUAAACAAAUGCUCUACCAUGGAUACCCUCAGCCCCGCAAAAGUAGGAUUUUUGUGUUAUGAGUGGCAAAACAAGAAUUGUUUCCAGGCAACAAGGAAUUACUGACAUGAGGAUUCAGUCUUCAGCAUUUUGCACAAAAGGCAAGAAGACUGUUAUGCUGAUUGCUUGAAUGGAAGAUCCAUGAUGAGAAGCCUGGGACCCCCCGAAAGACC